UGGGAGCGUACCCUUUGGUUCGGAACAACCCAGGGAAACUUGGGCUAAUACCGGAUACGUCCGUAAGGAGAAAGAUUUAUCGCCAAGGGAUCGGCCCGCGUCUGAUUAGCUAGUUGGUGGGGUAAUGGCCCACCAAGGCUACGAUCAGUAGCUGGUCUGAGAGGAUGAUCAGCCUCACUGGGACUGAGACACGGCCCAGACUCCUACGGGAGGCAG
rnacentral:rRNA from 1 species